GACAGAGGGUGCAAACGUUGCUCGGAAUCACUGGGCGUAAAGGGCGUGUAGGCGGGAAGGAAAGUCAGAUGUGAAAUCCCCAGGCUCAACCUGGGAACUGCAUUUGAAACUCCCUUUCUUGAGUACCGGAGAGGAAAGUGGAAUUCCUGGUGUAGAGGUGAAAUUCGUAGAUAUCCGGAGGAACACCAGUGGCGAAAGCGGCUACCUGGACUGCACCUGACGCUGAAACGCGAAAGCUAGGGGAGCGAACGGG
rnacentral:rRNA from 1 species